rnacentral:rRNA from 1 species
GACGAACGCUGGCGGCGUGCUUAACACAUGCCAGUCGAACGGAAAGGCCCUGCUUUUGUGUGGUGCUCGAUUGGCGAACGGGUGAGUAACACGUGAGUAACCUGUCCUUGACUUUGGGAUAACUUCAGGAAACUGGGGCUAAUACCGGAUAGGAGCUCCUGCUGCAUGGUGGGGGUUGGAAAGUUUCGGCGGUUGGGGAUGGACUCGCGGCUUAUCAGCUUGUUGGUGGGGUAGUGACUUACCAAGGCUUUGACGGGUAGCCGGCCUGAGAGGGUGACCGGCAACAUUGGGACUGCGAUACGGACCAGACUGCUACGGGCGGCAGCAGUGGGGAAUAUUGCACAAUGGGCCGACGCCUGAUGCAGCAACGCCGCGUGCGGGAUGACGGCCUUCGGGUUGUAAACCGCUUUCGCAUGUGACGAAGCGUGAGUGACGGUAAUGGGUAAAGAAGCACCGGCUAACUACGUG